UACGAAGGGGGCUAGCGUUGCUCGGAAUCACUGGGCGUAAAGCGCACGUAGGCGGCUUUCUAAGUCAGGGGUGAAAUCCUGGAGCUCAACUCCAGAACUGCCUUUGAUACUGGAGAGCUUGAGUCCGGAAGAGGUGAGUGGAACUCCGAGUGUAGAGGUGAAAUUCGUAGAUAUUCGGAAGAACACCAGUGGCGAAGGUGGCUCACUGGUCCGGUACUGACGCUGAUGUGCGAAAGCGUGGGGAGCAAACAGG
rnacentral:rRNA from 1 species